ensembl:lncRNA
CCGCCUUCACUGCGUCGGCAUUACCGAUGGUGCCGUGGCGCAGACACCCUGCUGGGUGUGCACCACCUUUGUAUUGCUUCGUGAGGGGAGAAUUCCGGCCUGAAAAACAGCACAAGCCGUCGGCCCCGGGGAGUCUGCUUCUGCGUUGCAGAGCGGUGGAGUCGGUGGGUCCUUGUCCAGGAUUUGCUCAGGCACCAGAUCUUGGAGUUUAAUGUGUGGGGGUAGCAGCCGAUGUCGUUUACAUGGACUGAUAGGUGACGAGAGGCUCUACGGGGGAUGAAAUAGCGUGACUGAAGAGGACGUCGAAUAGAGUAAAUACAUUUUAAUGGUGACGCUCACAACAUCACCCCAGUGUUUAGUACUCGUUUAGCAUUUAAAACAAUAAACCUACUAAAUAUGAGCACAGAAGAGCUGCCAACGUUACAUACUUUAAUGCUAACGUCCGCAUCGCCUCAAAGCACUUGUGUGUCCAAGUACAGCUAAGUGCGGCCUCUAGCCUUUUAUUCAUAUUCCAAACCAAACACAAUAACAAAUAUGUCUCAUAAACUCACCUUUUUCACUUUUUUCAGUAU